UUCAUUAAUCAUUAGGGUGGGUCAGUAUUAAUAUGAGUUAUGACUGAACGUUUGAACACACUAUCAUAAAAUUAUGAAACGUAACGUCUUUGUGAAUAUAAUUGUCAUUAGAAAAAGUAUAGAAGAUUUAUGUGAUGACAUAUUUUUCACUCCGAAAUAUAGAUAAAAUAUUGUUUCCAGAAAAGGUUGCCAACCACCGACGUGUAUAGAUAUCUAUUGGCCGAGAGCACAAAUGGAACGAACGAAGCGUGGGAAAAUAAUACGCGGGUUCGAAGUUUUUGCCAAAAAAAUACAAAGUAAACGUGAAAAUUAAUAGUCAAGAAUCUUCGAAACAAAACUUGAGAACAAUAUAUUAUCUAAUUGUUAAAUUCAGACCCGUAUAUACACCAAAAAACCCGUAUUUACACGAAUAAUAUACUGGUAGCUAUAGGCGUUAUAUGUCUUGUAGAUCACCCCUUACUACUAUUGAAAUUUAAUGAAGUAUAAAAGAAAAAACAGCAAAAAACAAAAAAAUUGUAAAAAUGUUUUAAAAAUAAGAAAAAGGUUGGCGAACAGUGUGAGCGUAAGCAAGUUUUUUAGUCAAAAAUAAUAAAAUUGUUAAAUUUAUAUUAAAUGUAAAAACUAAGAAUAAAAAAAAAAAUUCAAGAUAUUCAUUAAAUGUGAUGAGUGAAAGCAAUAAAGAUUUGAAUUUAGGUAUAUUUUAAUCGUCAACUCCGUCCUAUACCAUUACUCUUCGUCGAGCAUUGAUACGCCACUG